rnacentral:rRNA from 1 species
GAUGAACGCUGGCGGCGUGCCUAAUACAUGCAAGUCGAGCGAACAGACGAGGAGCUUGCUCCUCUGACGUUAGCGGCGGACGGGUGAGUAACACGUGGAUAACCUACCUAUAAGACUGGGAUAACUUCGGGAAACCGGAGCUAAUACCGGAUAAUAUAUUGAACCGCAUGGUUCAAUAGUGAAAGACGGUUUUGCCGUCACUUAUAGAUGGAUCCGCGCCGCAUUAGCUAGUUGGUAAGGUAACGGCUUACCAAGGCAACGAUGCGUAGCCGACCUGAGAGGGUGAUCGGCCACACUGGAACUGAGACACGGUCCAGACUCCUACGGGAGGCAGCAGUAGGGAAUCUUCCGCAAUGGGCGAAAGCCUGACGGAGCAACGCCGCGUGAGUGAUGAAGGUCUUCGGAUCGUAAAACUCUGUUAUUAGGGAAGAACAAAUGUGUAAGUAACUAUGCACGUCUUGACGGUACCUAGUCAGAAAGCCACGGCUAACUACGUG